ACAACGAGCUAAUAACAAUACCGCGGCAAAUCACUUCUCGCUGAUUGGGUAACGCUCCUUAUUUAACCGGUCGCACACGCCGUCUCAGCGAUUAUUGUUAGUUAGAUUUUUCACUGUACUUAAUCAUCAGGUUGUUGCUUAGAUUAUUUUGCUAUAUUAAUUGUUGCGAUUAUUGCUCAGGUUAUUGCUUAGUUAUUAUUCUGAUAUACGAUUCAUUCGAUUCAGUCUUUGUUACUAUUAUCUUGAACCGAUCAUCAUCCUUGUUCAGUUACAUCUAUUAUUAUUGUUUUAAAUAAAUUAAGCAUUAUUAAACAGCCUAAGUCAAUAAUACCGGUUGUGUCUACGGAAGCGACUCACUCCCAAUUCUUAUUGAGGCGAAUCUCAAUUCUACUUCUAUUUAGAAAUCGCUUAAACGCGAUCGAAGAAUUCGUUCUCUGCAGCAUAGUCAACAAAUUUUUUUCUGAGACUUUACCGCCAAUCAAUUCUACUUUCUCUGGAACCUAGCCAAUCGUGUCGAUAAGAAAAUCGGCCUAUCCGGCAAUAAAUAUCCAUAAUCCACCAAUAAAAGAGAUGGAUUCAUCGUUAAGUCCCCAUCAGCCAAUCCUCAUCACCGAAACAGAGGUAAACUGCAGCAUUUCAUCAAAUUCAUCGAAAGUAAAGAUAGGUGUCAUUUGAUUGACUUGCGCAUAUUGGAUGGCAUACCGUUAAGUGUCAGUCCCGUGCCAUAGAACUGCACACAACAGAUAAGGGCAAAAAAGGGUGUAUAAUCUUAAGACACAGGAACUCCUUAAAAGGAAUUUAAUUUCCUCGAGUCACUGGAAUGAAAUUGGCAUCAUUGAAAAAAAGCCGCUAAUUUAUGAGCAGUCGAUAAUGAAAACAUCAAAGACGAAUUAGCAGUGACUACAGCCUAAGAGAGUAAUACUGAGAUCGUUACGAUGUGCUAAAAACAAAAAACGAGAAUUAUGUCUUUUUCAUUAAAAUUCCUUUGUGAAUCUUU